UACGAAGGGUGCAAACGUUGCUCGGAAUCAUUGGGCGUAAAGCGCACGUAGGCGGCUAUCUAAGUCGGAUGUGAAAUCCCUCGGCUUAACCAAGGAAGUGCACCCGAAACUGGAUAGCUUGAGUACAGAAGAGGAUCGCGGAAUUCCCGGUGUAGAGGUGAAAUUCGUAGAUAUCGGGAGGAACACCAGUGGCGAAGGCGGCGAUCUGGGCUGAUACUGACGCUGAGGUGCGAAAGCGUGGGGAGCAAACAGG
rnacentral:rRNA from 1 species